UUUAAUUAAGUUCCAUCCCUUUUCCUCUCCCAUGUCACUUUCAAUCUCUGCCAUCUUGACUUUUCCUCCAUUUUUUGGCCAAUUCUUGACUUUCAAAUCCCUGCGUGCUGAAGCAUAUCCCACCAUUUUCGGGUGUAACCUGAAGCAUAUCACUGAAGAAUCCCGAAGAUCGAUUCCAUCAAAAAAAAAGUUUCAACGUUAAAAUUCAAACGGAUCCAUUUGAUUUCUUUUGAAAUCUAAACUUUCAAGUUCCCGCUCAAAGGAACCAAGAACCUUAAUUUUACACCUAUAAAUACAAAAAUUUGUGGCUAUUUUCAGCAGGUUGGACGCCCCCUCCUACACCGUUCGGUUGACUUCUCAUAGUUUAUCUUCAUCUUUACUCUAUUAAAAAUCUAGCUUUAAUCCUCUCUACCUCUUGGUAUCUGUUGCCCUAUAGCCAUAACAGAGCCUUCAUUUUGUUUGUGUCGGAGUUCGAUGAUUAUCUGAAGUAGCCAAAUUCGAGGUCGAAAAUAGUAGAUUUAGUUGACACGCCCCAAUUCCUGCGCCACAAAAGGAUCUAAGGCAGGUGCAUAUGGCAGUCAUUCCGGCGCGAUACCCCGAGGCAUAGCGGUGAGCUGCUUUUUGAGUUUGUUCUGCAGCACCCGAAGUCUCUCUUUUGCAUUUUAUUUUUUGUCUACUCUAUUUCAGAUAGUAGCUUAGUGCUUUAUAUAUUCUACUAGUUGCUCAUAUACUCGUGAUAUCAGGUCUUGUAACACAUACUAAUAGGCUUUAUGGUUUUGAAGCAUUUAUUUCACUACAUUUGCUCACUCAUUAGCUUUCGUUUUACUUUAUUAAAUUUUCUACUCCUUAUUUUCUAAAUAAAUGAAAUUCAAUUAGUUUAAAAUUUAUUAAAAAGAAUAGUUACAUGGUUAAUUCACUGUUGGCUUGCCAAGCAGCGAUAUUAGGCGUCAUUACAGUCUAUAGGAGAAAUUGAAUCGUGACAUACGACUUCAACGCCCACCUUAACCAAUGGGUGAGAUAAUAGGCGUCAGAUAGUAGUGUCGUACAAAAUUGGAAGAAAAGAGUGUAUUCCACUUUGCAUGGUGAGGUGAAAGUCGCAUUCAAUGCAGAAUGUGUAUCUAAGAGCAUGCACGACUUGCUGUGAAGAUGAAUAUGUGUUCCACUUGACCAGUACGGCAAUAUAAAGAAGUGUGAAAAAUGUUACACAGACAUGACAAGGGCAUGGUUCGGGGUGGUACGCACCUGCAAGCUUCGGCGAAAACUCUCUC